rnacentral:lncRNA from 1 species
GAGGGGAGCGGCGUGGGGAGUCACUUGGGUGGUGAUGCCUUAAAACAUCACAAUAAUUACAGCCAAAUUGGCUAUUGUUAGGAAAUAAAAUGCAUUUUGAUCUUUUUUGUGUAUGCGAAUAUAAAGCAAAGCAGGUACUUGGAAGUCUGCUCCCAACGAAAUUACAUGGUAAUAAGGCUUUUCACACCUACUCAGCACUUAGUAACCAAGCUCUGAAAAGAGUGAGAUUGAGCCCUGAUAGGUUUGAAACUUGGGACCUGAGACUUGUGGCUUUCUUCUUUAGGAGAGAAAAACAUGGCUCGCUGAAUUAUUCAUGCCCCCUUUCCAGCACCUAUCUUUAGGGGUGAAACUGUUAGGCUGCUGCGAUUAAGUGCGAGGGUCCACCCCGCUCCACAGUCCUCUGCUAAUUACCUGGAGUAUUUGCCACUGGUGCCUCCCUGCAGCUCGCACCUCCCUUCCUCCCUCCCACCUCCACUCCUCAAGGAAAAGAAGGGGCGGGGUUUGCAAAAGUAGCCAAGGCGGGGUUUCUCUCCCACCACUGGAGCCUGUUCAAAGAUAGUUUGUUGUCAGCCAGUUCCCACCGACAGAGACCUGUUGUCAUCAGCUCUAACUUCCAAUGAAUCAAGGACAGCCCUGAACGUGGACUUGGGGCUUAUUUAAGAGGCUCUCCCCUCACCUCUCCCAUACUUGUUCCACACCUGGAUUCGGGCUAUUUGCAUGACAAUGAGCUAAACAGGAGACCUUAAUGAAGGCUUCAGUUGUGCUCCAGGGAGGAACUGCGCAGAAUCGCUGGGCAACCACGGGACGGACUUGCAGCUACAGUGGUCGCCCGACAAAUCAGGAGGCAAAUCCAUCUGAGCCCACAACUACAGACCAAUUCCGACAUCUCAUGAACACGUACACUGACUUAAUUCCUUCAGCUGAAGAAAACAGGCAACUAAUGAUCACAGUUCUCUCAGCCAGUCCAAGAUGGAGCCACCAAGCUACUAGGACGUAGGCCCACGGUGGGUUUUGCAAGGCUGGCUGUGUCAGCGUGGUUCUCCCCCAGGGUUAGAGCAGGGAGCCCCCACUCCUCUGGGGAAGAAUGGUUAACAUAGUUGAAGUCAAUUCAUUCCUUCGGCCUUCCGUGGAAACCCCACCCCGUGGCUCUGUCUGAAAGGGUUCUGGAAUGCCUAUGGUUUCUUGCUCAAGAAAGAAGAAUAGCUUUUUUGUGUCAUUCUGAGAGCAAGCAACAUGAGUCUCCACCACAUACUGCAAAACUUGGAGACACACGAUGCGUCAACCGAAUCGCGGUCCCGGCAAGCAAGCCGUGAUAAGGAGGUGUGCGGCACUCCACAGCCAGUCUCCUGCCGGUGAAGCAGCAGAACAGCCCAGCCAGCGCCGCCUAACAGCUGCGUUCUUGUCUACAACUCCAGCUGCAUGAAAGUGGCACGCUACUAGGAAACAGUGUGUGUGCCAAUAAUGGAGAUUGUUCGAGAUUUCCAAGGAAUUGGAGAACAAGAGCGGAUUGUACGGACGGAGCUUAGGGAAUUCAUGGCUUGGCUGGAGCUUUUUGGACGUGGAUCUGUUCUUCCCUCAGCAGCCUUGGAUGGGGUUGAGAGGAAAUCUGGUGCUUGGGUGAGACGGGGCAGAUGAGGGAGUCACACGGAACCUGAGGGCCUGUGGAGGCUAGAACUGCAGCGUGAGGCGAAAUUUAAGGCAUAGGAUUGGACUCACCCAAGUAUCAGAACAGGCAUCCGGGUUCUCCCCAUCUCCGGCCCAUUGCCUCUGUCAUGGGUUCUUCCUUAGAGGCCCACAGCAGAGGCACUUAAGGAAGAAGCUUGUGGCUCCAGAGAGAGGUGUCCUCACAGGGAGUCUCUCAAUUGUUCUUUCCCGGUCUGUCUCCCACCUUCCAGAUCUCAGUUUGUGGAUGGGAGAGGGAGGGGACGUGGGGCAUCGUAUCCAGUUGUACAGAUGGAGAAAUUGGGAUACAACAUGUUUAAGUGCCUGAGGCUUAUCUAGGAUUGAUCCCUUCCCUCUCCACAGCUUUGCUGGAAUAAACCAAGAUUAAUUGGAGGAAAAUAUACA